UAGAGUUUUGAUCAUGGCUCAGGACGAACGCUGGCGGCGUGCCUAAUACAUGCAAGUCGUACGCUUCUUUUUCCACCGGAGCUUGCUCCACCGGAAAAAGAAGAGUGGCGAACGGGUGAGUAACACGUGGGUAACCUGCCCAUCAGAAGGGGAUAACACUUGGAAACAGGUGCUAAUACCGUAUAACAAUCGAAACCGCAUGGUUUUGAUUUGAAAGGCGCUUUCGGGUGUCGCUGAUGGAUGGACCCGCGGUGCAUUAGCUAGUUGGUGAGGUAACGGCUCACCAAGGCCACGAUGCAUAGCCGACCUGAGAGGGUGAUCGGCCACAUUGGGACUGAGACACGGCCCAAACUCCUACGGGAGGCAGCAGUAGGGAAUCUUCGGCAAUGGACGAAAGUCUGACCGAGCAACGCCGCGUGAGUGAAGAAGGUUUUCGGAUCGUAAAACUCUGUUGUUAGAGAAGAACAAGGAUGAGAGUAACUGUUCAUCCCUGACGGUUACCGAGCCCG
rnacentral:rRNA from 1 species